rnacentral:rRNA from 1 species
UGGAAAGCUUUCGCGGUAUGGGAUGGGGUCGCGUCCUAUCAGCUUGACGGCGGGGUAACGGCCCACCGUGGCUUCGACGGGUAGCCGGCCUGAGAGGGCGACCGGCCACAUUGGGACUGAGAUACGGCCCAGACUCCUACGGGAGGCAGCAGUGGGGAAUAUUGCACAAUGGGCGCAAGCCUGAUGCAGCGACGCCGCGUGAGGGAUGGAGGCCUUCGGGUUGUAAACCUCUUUUAUCGGGGAGCAAGCGAGAGUGAGUUUACCCGUUGAAUAAGCACCGGCUAACUACGUGCCAGCAGCCGCGGUAAUACGUAGGGUGCAAGCGUUAUCCGGAAUUAUUGGGCGUAAAGGGCUCGUAGGCGGUUCGUCGCGUCCGGUGUGAAAGUCCAUCGCUUAACGGUGGAUCCGCGCCGGGUACGGGCGGGCUUGAGUGCGGUAGGGGAGACUGGAAUUCCCGGUGUAACGGUGGAAUGUGUAGAUAU